rnacentral:rRNA from 1 species
AGCAUAAUUUUUUGUGGUGCAUUUACUUGAUUGGUGCUUGGGGAUGUUUGAGGCAGAUUUGUUUCCGUCGUUUUGAGGCCAGCUUGCUGGUACCCAAACGGUGUUAGCAUUUUUUGUCUUGGGCAUUUGAGUAUGGCUCACGUGUAUUUAUUGGACAGAUCUGAGUGUAAGUUACGGUCGCAUGCGACACGUGCUUUUCAAUUAGUUCGGUCCAGUUAAUGCUCUCGUACUCGUUCCCCAUGUAAAAGCCGGUCAUCUAUCCGACCCGUCUUGAAACACGGACCAAGGAGUUUAUCGUGUGCGCAAGUUUUUGGGUGUUAAAAACUUAAAAGCGAAAUGAAAGUAAAUGACUCUUUAGAGUCUGAUGUGCGAUCUUGUAAAAAAGUGUAGCAUGGCCCCAUUCUAACUGUUUACAGUAGGGUGGCGGAAGAGCGUACGCGGUGAGACCCGAAAGAUGGUGAACUAUUCCUGAGCAGGACGAAGCCAGAGGAAACUCUGGUGGAAGUCCGAAGCGGUUCUGACGUGCAAAUCGA